rnacentral:lncRNA from 1 species
AAAUGAAAACCAACUCAUAAGAUUACUAGUUAAGACAAGUGCUAGAGUAUGUGUGAAUACACAAUCAGAGCGUAAGUAGCCUAAGUUCAGUCCAGAAAACAAGUAUUAGAUAAACGACACCCGGAGAUGUCCUGCAUUUGUGAUAGUCUGUCAGAACCUCCAAUCGAUCCUCAUGAGCCACCAACGAACAAACUUAUCUAAAACCUGGAGGGGCGCAAAACAGAAAGUGUGAGUGGGCAAAAACAAAGUUUUUCAAGACCAUUUCAUUUUAUCAAAAGCUCUAACUCCUCGCCGUAAAACAUGUAUAACCUUCCCAGAAAUGGAAUAUAAAUAAAUAAAUAUAUUCAAAUCAUGCUUCACAUAUCCAUAUUCAUAAGUAUGUCAUGCCAAAAUAUAAAACAGAAUAAGUAACUCAGAUGAAAAUAAAUUCAUGGAAAAAGAACAUAUUAGUCGAAACCCCUGCAGAAGUCUGUACGGCUGAAUUCAUAGCUCAUUAGUCAAUCUAGACGGAGUCACUGCAAGUGAUCUAUACGGUACUACACUGCACACGAGUCAGAACCACUGUAAAGGUUUGUACGACAAGACUGGGUAUAAUAUAGUUAUGUUCAAUGCUAUGCUCUCAUGAUAGUUGUGCGAUAAAUCACUAGUCACCUACGAGUCGAAACCACCUAUGAUGGUAUGUACGACAAGACUGGGUGUAAUAUAGUUAUGCUCAAUACUACGCUCUCAUGAUAACUGUGCGAAAAAUCACUGGUCACCUACGAGUCGGAACCAUCUAUGAUGGUCUGUACGACAAGACUGUGCACCUAAAUUGGAUCCAAUGUGAACAUAUGGUGCGGGAGGUGACAUUAUAUACAGGCAUGUGCCAUAUCUCUGGCUAAAUCACUAACAUCGGGGUGCAGGUUUAUGAGCUCAAUGUUUCUUAAUUAAUCACAACCGUUAUUCACAUUCACAAUCAUAAACUCACCUGAGGCUUACCUGAGCGUCCACAACACCACAAUUAUAUAUAUAUAUAUAUUAUGCAAACAUCAUAUGCAUAUUCUAAAUGUAAAACAUUUGGCAUGUCAAUUUAAAUCAUAACUCAUUUAAAUGCAUUUUUUGGGAAAGAUACCAAACAUAUACAUAUAUACUUAAAACCAAAAGUCCAAUCACUGGUAUGUCGAAGGGUCGUAGCCCCCGAGCCGCCCUUGAUUGCGCUUGUCCUCAGGAUAGGUCUCACAUAUAUGCGAAAUAACUGAAUAAAUGUUAUUUAAAGCACAUAGAAAAAACUAGUUAAUAACUUCUCAUAUAUUGCUCAAAUGAGAUGUUUGAAUAUACCAACAUGAUCUACACAACCUCACGAACAUCCCCAUAUUUUUAGAAAAAUUUUCCAACCACCCACGCGUCGGCCAAGGCAUGGCCAGACGCGCAGCCCACGGGCGGUCACCUGCCAGGCACACUGACGGUAACCCUAAUGGUGUUAGGGAAUAUUCCGUUAAAUAAUAGCAUAUACCGUUAAAACUAACAUGACGCCAUUAGAAUAUUCCAUCAAACUUGAUGGUAUAUUCUCUGUCUUCUUCCUUUGAACUCCGAUGACCGUCGCCGUCGCCACAAAACUGGGAAAUUUUCAAACCUUAAUAUCUCAGUCCAUACACAACCAAAAUCUAUGAAAUUUGUACCAAAAUGAAGCUUAGGACUAGAAGAACACGAUCUUACCAAUUUCAAGCUCCAAAAAUCACGGGAUCUCGCCGGAUAAAGCACAAUAAUUCCGGUCAAAUUUCAAACUCGACUUCCCGACAUCCAAAACACCUCGUUUUUCUUCUCCGAGCUUCGUGAAGACGUUCUAAAGCUUCCUAGCAACUUUAAAACUUCUAAAAACCUCACAUUCACGAGUGCAUGAACAAUGCUCAAAUCGGAGAUUAUGGUUUCUCGGGUUUUUUCGAGGUUUCACGUCCAAAUAAUAGUAUCACUGGGUUCCUGGGCUCGCAAGAAACUUGAAAAUGGUCUCCAUAACCUCGAUCCGUGAAGAAAUGGUUUGGUUGAGGUUCGUCCAUACGUAUGAUAUGAAAAUGGAGAGAAACCGAUAGGGAAGAGAGAGAAAGAGAGGGUGAACAGGAGAAAGAGAGGUAGAGUGUGUGUGUGUGUGGUCCUAAUCCUCUUACAAGCAACCAAAACAAUUAGAACCUUUAUUUCUAAUUGGGUCCAAAAGGUUAGGAAGAAAGUAAUUGGUCCACAACACAACUUAAACCACAUAACACCACAAAUGUCUAAGGAUAUUUUAGGCAAUUCACACCAUCGAAAAUUAUAUUUCGGGACGGCCUGUCACAUGACAGGUUCGAACAAUUUAGAUAAGAAUAAAAUUGGCAUUUUGGGGUAUAUUAUUAAUUUUCUAUUAGUUACACCAAGAACAAAUCUUGCUCAAUUAUUAAUUAAAACAGAAGCAAAAGUUUAUGAAAUUAGGUAUUGGUCCUCUAACAAAGAUAAAAAAUUCAGUUGAAGUGGAAAUAUAUAUAUUUUUUAAUCAGUGGAAGUAUAUAUAUAUAUUGAAAAUUGGUCCUUUACUGUGAGCAUGUUAUGAAAAUACUAUAAUAUUUGCAAAUUUUUUUUAUA